rnacentral:lncRNA from 12 species
GAGGUUUCAGAGUAAACACCAUAGGCAGGUAAUAAUGAAGCCACCCUGUUGCCAGGCCAACAGACAUUGAACUCUGGUCAGACUCCCUUUAAACCUCUGACCAAAAUCACCUGUCACUGUGAAUUUACACUGAGUGAAGGAGGAGACAACAACCUUAAGUGUCACGUAUGGCCUUUCACAUUUGGAAACAACUUCGGACAACUUAACUCCAGGAGAUGCAGCCGCUUUAAGAUGAAAGAUUCUCAAACUUAGUUGUCAUCUGCAGCUCUCAGAAGAAAAGAACAAAGAACACGCUAAAAGGGAACAGAAUAUGUAGUUCAUCAACAUCGCCUUUUGGUAUUGAAUAGCUGGCUCUGGCUUUGCUCAUGAAACCAUGGGUCUCCACUCCAUUGACAUAAAAGCAGAAAACAUAAAGAUUCAGCAAAUUUCUUUGUCUAUGCUCUGCAUAUUUUGUCAUUAUCUACCUAAAUGUUUCGCAUUUUGUACAGGUAAUACAUCCUUGUAAAAAUCAAAUGAGUGACACCUGGGUGGCUCAGCGGUUGAGCAUCUGCCUUCAGCUCAGGGUGUGAUCCUGCGGUCCCAGGAAUAAGUCCUACAUCGGGCUCCCUGCAUGGAGCCUGCUUCUCCCUCUGCCUCUGUCUCUGCCUCUCUCUCUCUCUCUCUCUCUCUCUCUGUGUGUGUGUGUGUGUGUGUCUCUCAUGAAUAAAUAAUAAAAUCUUUUAAAAAAUCA